CCCUGGUUUCCUGAAAGAACUUUUUUUUUCACCUUUUAUAAGAUAUCAAAAUGGUCUUAUAAGAAAGUGCAUGAGCCCAGCUUGCCAAAUUACUAUAUCAAAUAAUAAUAAUGAACCUUUUUAUGGUCACCCACAGUGAGCUACCUGUGCUGAAGAACAGCUGCAUAAAUGUAUUCGCUACCUGAUGGGCUCGAAUAAAAGAAAACUGGUAUCUUCAAUUCCUCAUCAGAAGACCACUGCAGACUAAUCUGAUGAAGGAACGAAGUCUAUAGAGAAAAGCUGAAUGGAAAGGGUGAAACUUCGCAAGGCCAAACAGAAAGCAGCUGCUACAGAAUGAAGCAGGCACAUGGAGCUGCAGACUUUGACACUGUGAUCCAUGUAAGAGAGACUUCGAUAAUAACUCAACAUUCUUUUGAGACAAGAGACUGGUCACAUCUUAAAACCAACGACCACAUCACAUGUCCUUCCUGACCUCAAGUCCUGAAUCUCCUCUCCAUGAAAAUCUAUUUGUUGCCGUCUUCCCAAGAUCUCGGUGGAGAAGAAAGAAGGAUCCUCUCUGGGAGACAGCCAAGUCUACUUUCUCAUCCUUUCCCUGGUUUCAUAAGAGGAUCCCAGAUGGGGGUUUACAAGAGCCAGUUUGGUUGAUGUCCAACCUAUCACCUGGUAUGUGUGUGUAUAUGCAUAUCUAUCUCCAAAUAUAGAAUUUUACAACAUCACUACAUUAACAAAUUAUGGUUCAAAUUAAACAUGGCUAAAUAAGCCAUGGGUCAGCAGGCAGCUUAAAAUAUUAAUCUGGAGCCAGGUAAAUGAAGAAUGAAAGCAAAAGUAAAGGGAUAGUUCAGAUAUAAUUAAGCUCCCAACUCAGCUGACUUGAGUUAAUCAAAAAAGAAGAUUCUGGCUUAAUAAGUGAAAGCCCUUAAAAGAGGGCCUGAGCUGAAGGCAGAGGAUCUGCUUGUAGUUUCAAUGCCUGAAGCCGUCAUACUGGAAAAGCCCACCUGAAUAGGAAGUGUGAUACUUCAACUCCAGAAGCUGCUAGCGGCUUUCAGGAUCUGAGUGUAGCCUCUGGUCGACAUCUAGCAAAAAUCCAGGGCGCCUAGUCAUAGCUAUAAGAAGUAAAGUCUGCCAAACACGUAAAUAAGCUUGAAUGAGGCUUCUUCCAGGCUGCAGAUGAGAGUACAGUCCAGACACGAGCAGAGGAACCAGGUAGCACUGUGCCCAGACCUGACCCGUGGACAAUGGGAGACAAUACAUGAGUGUUACUUUAACACACCUGUGCUUAGGUGGUAAUUAUGUAGCAAUAUAAAAAUGUCUAAGCUUUUCAAUUCAUUUAUGCAUGUAUGUAUAUUUUUAAGUACAAUCUAUAUGCAUGUAUUUGGAAAGGGGAAAAAUGUUGCUAUUGUCUAGUUUUCUUUUUAUUCUUCCUUCCUUCCUUCCUUCCUCCCUCCCUCCCUCCCUCCCUCCCUUCUUUCCUCCUUUUCACACCACAGGAACAGAGAAACCUUACAAAAUAAUUCUGGUGGUUUUUUAAAGCUUGUUAGGAUACCAGUUGGAUGAGGGAACCAAUAAAAAACCCCACAGAUUUGCA
ensembl:lncRNA